rnacentral:lncRNA from 1 species
GCCCGGUGACCCCAUUUUUUUUUUUAAUAAAUCUUUUACAUGUAUAAUGAUAAGCAAUCUGUAAAAGUCUUAUAAAAUUUUAAUUACUUUUUAACAGUUUUUGAGAACUUCAACUUGUCAAUAAUAAAGCUAUGAAAAGUCAAGAGAGAAUAUUUUCCCGCCAUAAUUUCAAUGGCAUAUAUCUCGAAAACAAGCACGGCGACCUAUAUAUUUUUUUUGCUCUUUGGAUUCCUUUAAUAACCCCCUAUCUAUAUAAACUAGUGUUUUGAAAAGUUAAUUACUUUGAAACUGAGAAGCGAACUCCCUUAAAACCGUAGUUUACCGAUUGUCACCUUUAUAGUAAACUAUCAACAAAUAAGCAUGGUUAUUGAGCACGUGCAUAUCAUGUACAAUAAGAUAAUAGUUUAUUUCAAUGACAGAUUCAUGCGUAUUGCGAUUACCGGAUUCUCGCGAGAAAGGUCACACUGAGUUCACUGCAUACGCCACACGUAUCGGCAAAUUGUUU